AACUUAGGUUGACCAAUGGCCUUCAAAGCCUUAAGCAAAGGUUAAACUCCUUUAGUUUCUGUAGGACUUG
rnacentral:tRNA from 1 species